rnacentral:rRNA from 1 species
UACAGAGGUCCCAAGCGUUGUUCGGAUUCACUGGGCGUAAAGGGCGCGUAGGUGGCUUGGUAAGUUUGAUGUGAAAUCUCCGGGCUUAACCCGGAAAAUGCAUUGAAUACUAUUUGAGCUCGAGGAUUGGAGGGGGGACUGGAAUUCUUGGUGUAGCAGUGAAAUGCGUAGAUAUCAAGAGGAACACCAGUGGCGAAGGCGAGUCCCUGGACAACACCUGACACUGAGGCGCGAAAGCUGGGGGAGCAAACAGG